rnacentral:tRNA from 1 species
CGGGGUGUAGCGCAGCUGGCUAGCGCGCCACGUUCGGGACGUGGAGGUCGUCCGUUCGAAUCGGAUCACCCCGA